AGAAGGGCAACUGGAGGAUCAGGGCUCCCUCAGUGAGACUGGGAAAGCACUAAGACAACUUCAGAACCUUCAAACAAGGUAGUGGGAUCCCAGCAGCUUAAGAGGGAGGGUGUCUAGCAGCAGUGGCCUGGCCUGAAGGAUCCUCCAUACGGAAGACUGUAUUGGUUCCGGAGUGUGAACUCAAGUGGUCAGGCUUGCAUGGCAUGCAUGGUUACCCACCGAGCCAACUCACAAGUUCUGGGAAUUCUUUGACCAAUGUCCUACCACAGGAUUUGCUUCCUGCUAAUUGUUUCUCCCUGCCAUUCCAGAGACUGAGAAGUGGCUAAGGAGUUACAGAGGCAUCAAACUAUCUCAAGAAACUUGUUCAGAAGUGACAAAACAACAAUGGAAAAAGUCAUCCAUGGAAGCUCUGUGAGCAUCAAUGGAAGCCCUGUGAGAAAGAGACUGUAGAGAUGCUCAGUGGUUAAGAGCAUGUGUUGCUCUUGCAGAGGAUUUGGAUUUUGUUCCUACCAACCACAUGGAGCAGCACACAAACAUCUGCAACUCCAGUUCAAGGGAUAUGCUAUGCUGCUCUCUUCUGGCCUCCUAGGGUACCCAUGCAUGUGUACCUGUGUGCAUACACACAUAUACAUAAUACAACAAAUAUUUUUUAAUAAAAGAAUCUUUGUGGAGAC
rnacentral:lncRNA from 1 species